rnacentral:rRNA from 1 species
GACGAACGCUGGCGGCGUGCUUAACACAUGCAAGUCGAACGAAGAGCGAUGGAAGCUUGCUUCUAUCAAUCUUAGUGGCGCACGGGUGAGUAACGCGUAAUCAACCUGCCCUUCAGAGGGGGACAACAGUUGGAAACGACUGCUAAUACCGCAUACGAUCUAAUCUCGGCAUCGAGGAUAGAUGAAAGGUGGCCUCUACAUGUAAGCUAUCACUGAAGGAGGGGAUUGCGUCUGAUUAGCUAGUUGGAGGGGUAACGGCCCACCAAGGCGAUGAUCAGUAGCCGGUCUGAGAGGAUGAACGGCCACAUUGGGACUGAGACACGGCCCAGACUCCUACGGGAGGCAGCAGUGGGGAAGCUUCCGCAAUGGACGAAAGUCUGACGGAGCAACGCCGCGUGAGGGAUGGCGGCCUUCGGGUUGUAAAGCUCUGUUAAUCGGGACGAAAGGCCUUCUUGCGAAUAGUGAGAAGGAUUGACGGUACCGGAAUAGAAAGCCACGGCUAACUACGUG